rnacentral:rRNA from 1 species
GCACGGGGGCAACCCUGGUGGCGAGUGGCGAACGGGUGAGUAAUGCAUCGGAACGUGCCCAGUAGUGGGGGAUAACUAGUCGAAAGAUUAGCUAAUACCGCAUACGACCUAUGGGUGAAAGCGGGGGACCUUUACCGGCCUCGCGCUAUCGGAGCGGCCGAUGUCUGAUUAGCUAGUUGGCGGGGUAAAAGCCCACCAAGGCGACGAUCAGUAGCUGGUCUGAGAGGACGACCAGCCACACUGGGACUGAGACACGGCCCAGACUCCUACGGGAGGCAGCAGUGGGGAAUUUUGGACAAUGGGCGCAAGCCUGAUCCAGCCAUGCCGCGUGCGGGAAGAAGGCCUUCGGG